CCCUUUCUCCUUUCCCACUGGCAGGGUCACGGGCCCAGGAGACAUGGUGCUGUCCUCAGCUUCUUCAGCAUCCCGGGGGCACAGAGGAGCAACUCCGUGGGGAGCGGGUCCUCGACACUGUCAAGGGGCAGAUCCACCACCCAGACUUGUAGGGAUGGAGCCCGCCACCUUUGGUGUACGGGAUGAUGCUCUAACCAACUCUGCCACCUGGACAGGGCUAUCACAGUCCAUUCUUUGGUGCCAAGAUGCCAACAGGUCUGUGGAGAAAAUUCAAGAUUAUACACUUGUGAAGUCCCCAGCAGCGUGCCUGGCACACAGUCGGUG